GACGUAGGGGCCAGCGUUGUUCGGAAUUACUGGGUGUAAAGGGUUCGUAGGCGGUGCGGCAAGUUGGGAGUGAAAUCUCUGGGCUUAACCCAGAGGCUGCUUCCAAAACUGCUGUGCUUGAGUGUGGAGAGGCGCGUGGAAUUGCAGGUGUAGCGGUGAAUGCGUAGAUAUCUGCAGGAACACCCGUGGCGAAAGCGGCGCGCUGGACCACUACUGACGCUGAGGAACGAAAGCUAGGGAGCAAACAGG
rnacentral:rRNA from 1 species